AUGCUUUACACAUGCAAGUCGAACGGCAGCAUAGAGAGCUUGCUCUCUGAUGGCGAGUGGCGAACGGGUGAGUAAUAUAUCGGAACGUGCCUAGUAAUGGGGAAUAACUAAUCGAAAGAUUAGCUAAUACCGCAUACGACCUACGGGUGAAAGCAGGGGAUCUUCGGACCUUGCGUUAUUAGAGCGGCCGAUAUCUGAUUAGGUAGUUGGUAGGGUAAAGGCCUACCAAGCCAACGAUCAGUAGCUGGUCUGAGAGGACGAUCAGCCACACUGGAACUGAGACACGGUCCAGACUCCUACGGGAGGCAGCAGUGGGGAAUUUUGGACAAUGGGGGCAACCCUGAUCCAGCCAUUCCGCGUGAGUGAAGAAGGCCUUCGGGUUGUAAAGCUCUUUCGCAAGAGAAGAAAUCUUAUCGUCUAAUAAACGGUAAGGAUGACGGUACCUUGACAAGAAGCACCGGCUAACUAUG
rnacentral:rRNA from 1 species